UACGUAGGGGGCAAGCGUUGUCCGGAUUUAUUGGGCGUAAAGAGCGUGUAGGCGGCUAGGUAGGUCCGUUGUGAAAACUCGAGGCUCAACCUCGAGACGCCGGUGGAAACCACCUAGCUAGAGUCCGGAAGAGGAGAGUGGAAUUCCUGGUGUAGCGGUGAAAUGCGCAGAUAUCAGGAAGAACACCCGUGGCGAAGGCGGCUCUCUGGUACGUGACUGACGCUGAGACGCGAAAGCGUGGGGAGCAAACAGG
rnacentral:rRNA from 1 species